UUUUUUGUUUAUUUUAAAAUGUAGCAAAUAACAACGCUUGUUGCAGAAAGCGCUUUAUAAUACUAUCCUAUAUCAGCACUUAUGUUGUUUAAGCAUCGUCUAAAUGUAAUAUAAGACAACCCUUAUAAGUAGAAAGCGCCGUCUAAAUGCAUCAUAAGAUAGCGCUUAUGAGUAGAAAGUGUUGUCUAUUGGUGGCGUAUAAUAGUUCUUACAACAAAAGGCGAUGUCUAAAUGUAACAUAAGACAUCACUUAUAAUUAGAAAGCGUUGUCUAUUGGUGGCAUAUAAUAGCGCUUACGACAAAAGGCGCCGUCUAAAGGUAACAUUAGACAACGUUUUUACUUGAUUAUUAAGCGCUGAUCAUAGUGUUAUUUUGUGCGAUGUGUUCAUCUUCUUGCAUUAUAGACCGAAUUAUGAUCAUCUGAAAAUAAUCAUAAGUGUGUCCCAUAUACAAACAUGUAGGACUAUGCACACCUCUUACAAAGAGAAGGCUUCCAAUGGUAGCACCAACACUUCAAAGAAAUGCAACCAAGCUGAUACUUCUACAACGCCCCAUGAUAAUUCAUAGUAUGCAUUUUAAUGCCUCAUCAACUAGAAUGCCAAAUAUAUAGACUAUCAUUCACUUAUCAAAUAAGCAUGAUUUCCUUUGGUAAAUGUCAUUGUCCAUCCAUUUCCCAAAUAAUGUUAGCCCGAACAAUUACACUCUCUGCCGAAAAGAGAGAAUAGCGGAGAAGAGCGACAAAUAGAAAUUGAUCAACAAAGAAGAGCGGUCGCGACGAUUGUUUUAUGGUGGAGGGAGAACAUCGUUGGUGAGGUUCGAUGGUAGAUUUUAGGGUGGAUUAGGGCUAUAUCAAUCCGGACUGUGAACUGAACCAUUAGAAACUAGUGAAUAUAUUAGCAACUCUAACCACGUCAAAAACCAAUGAAAACAAUAUACAUGGUUUUAAAAAUCACUCCAAACAUAGAUCAUAGAUAGUGAGAAUGAUGAUGAAUGCUCGUAGAUAGUUAGAAUACUAAAAUAAAUAGUUGAGUAAAUAUAAAUCGCAUUUCUUUGGUGAAAAAAAAAGCUUGAAAUUAUGAGCAUUUUCACAGUCUUCCAAAAUUAUAUCAAAACAAGUAAAUUAGUUACUCUAUUAUGUCAUUCCAUACAUAAAUAAAACAUUACUUGGUGGCUCUUAUUUUGGUAUCACCUCAAUUUCAUUAAAAAUGAAGAACAAAGUGGAUAUGUCACAACACCAAUCUUCAAAGAAACCAGACAAAAAUUUUCCUUGUUAAAGAUGCAAAAGCAGGACACAAACAACAUUCACGUAAUGCUUAGAAUUAUAUACCAUAACAAGUUAUAGAGAAACUAAACAGAAAAUUGAGGCCUCAAUAAUUGUAGGAAAUUACUAACCAUCGUGAUUUAAAGAAUUAAAGAUAUUGUCAGCUUGAUUAGAAAGCGAAAAUUUCCCCUCAUAGUCAUUAUAAGCAUUGACACUAACUAACGAUUAACAAAUCUACCAACACAUGUUUAAACCAAACAUCAAAUGUAAACAUAAAAAUAAUCAGUGAGGACAACCAAUAAUUAUUGAAGUAUGUUUAACCGAUAUAAUCUGGAAAUCAGUAAGUACAAUUGCCCUAAACUGAAAAUUUAAUUUGAGAAAUUGAAAAAAUUGAAAGGAAACGGGAAAUUGAAGGUUAUUGUAAAUAAGAAGAAUAUGAAAUUGAAGAUGAAAUUAACUAACUCACCUUUUAAAAUAAGAAGAGAAGGCGGCGAGGCAGCUAAACACAGGUGGUGAGAGAGAGAAGUCGACGGCAAGUGAAGAGAAGGUUGUGCUCUCAGCCUCUCACCUGCGUGUGUUGUUGUUUGGUGAAGAAAGAGAAAGGGAAAAAAAGUUAAAAGAAAAAAUGGAAAAAGAAGAAAAAUAAGUCACAUGUGUGCCAGUUUGGUAUAAAAAAUAAAAAUAAAAUAGAAAUAGAGGUACAAAGCAAUUGUAUAGUAUUAAUGUUGUAUUUUUGUUAUGGAUUUGUGUAUACAUAACAUUUCUGAUUUAUUUAUCCCCACUUUUGCCACCAUAUUUGCCAUUGUCAGACACAUAAAAUUGAUCCUCACUUUUGCCACAAUUCUCAUUCUUGGCUCUUUCAAUAGCAACAACCCCAUCGCUCUCAAUUACCUCAGGUUGAAACACAUGAUUUAAAUUGGAGUUGCAGAAGNN
rnacentral:lncRNA from 1 species